rnacentral:rRNA from 1 species
UACGAGGGGUGCAAGCGUUAUUCGGAUUUACUGGGCGUAAAGGGUGUGUAGACGGUUUGCUAAGUCUGUUGUUAAAUACUCCGGCUUAACUGGAGAUCAGCAGUGGAAACUAGCAGGCUAGAGGUUGGGAGAGAGAAGUGGAAUUCCCGGAGUAGCGGUAAAAUGCGUAGAUCUCGGGAGGAACACCGAUGGCGAAGGCAGCUUCUUGGCCCAUACCUGACGUUGAGACACGAAAGCGUGGGGAGCAAACAGG